rnacentral:tRNA from 1 species
GGUGUAGCUCAGUGGUAGAUCACUUGUCUAGAAUGCGCAAGGCCCUGGGUUUGAGCCCCAGCACUGCA